UGGGGAAUAUUUUGCAAUGGGCGCAAGUCUGAUAUAGCCACACCGCGUGAGUGAAGAAGGCUUUUUGGUUGUAAAACUCUUUUGUUUGGGAAGAAAAACAGCUGGAUUAAAUCCUCGUGCCUUGACGGUACCCAACCAGAAAGCCCCGGCUAACUUUGUGCCAGCAGCCGCGGUAAUACGUAGGGGGCAAGCGUUAUUCUGAAUUAUUGGGCGUAAAGCGCGCGCAGGCGGUUUUUUAAGUCUGAUGUGAAAGCCCCCGGCUCAACCCGGGAGAGUCAUUGUAAACUGGGAAACUUGAGUGUAGAAGAGGGGAGUGGAAUUCCACGUGUAGCGCUGAAAUGCGUAUAGAUAUGGAGGAACACCCGUGGCGAAGGCGCCUUUCUGGUCCCUAACUGACACUGAGACGCGAAAGCGUGGGGAGCGAACACGAUUAGAUACCCUGGUAGUCCACGCCCUAAACGAUGAGUCCUAAAUGUUGGGGGCUGUUUGCCCCUCAGUAUCGCAGCUAACGCAGUAAGCUCACACGCCUGAGACUCCGCAAAGG
rnacentral:rRNA from 1 species